CUACGGGAUGCUGCAGUGGGGAAUAUUGCACAAUGGAGGAAACUCUGAUGCAGCAACGCCGCGUGGAGGAUGACACUUUUCGGAGCGUAAACUCCUUUUAUAUAGGAAGAAGAUGACGGUACUAUAUGAAUAAGCGCCGGCUGACUCCGUGCCAGCAGCCGCGGUAAUACGGAGGGCGCAAGCGUUACUCGGAAUCACUGGGCGUAAAGAGCGUGUAGGCGGAUUAAAAAGUCAGAAGUGAAAUCCUAUAGCUUAACUAUAGAACUGCUUCUGAAACUCCUAAUCUAGAAUAUGGGAGAGGUAGAUGGAAUUUCUGGUGUAGGGGUAAAAUCCGUAGAGAUCAGAAGGAAUACCGAUUGCGAAGGCGAUCUACUAGAACAUUAUUGACGCUGAGACGCGAAAGCGUGGGGAGCAAACAGGAUUAGAUACCCUCGUAGUC
rnacentral:rRNA from 1 species